CAAUAGCGUAUAUUAAAGUUGUUGCGGUUAAAAAGCUCGUAGUUGGAUUUCGGGUGGGAAUGGCCGGUCCGCCGUUUCGGUGUGCACUUGCUACGCCCACCUUGCUGCCGGGGACGUGCUCUUGAGUUCACGCUCGGGACACGGAGUCGGCGAGGUUACUUUGAGUAAAUUAGAGUGUUCAAAGCAGGCCUACGCUCUGAAUACAUUAGCAUGGAAUAACACGAUAGGACUCUGGCCUAUCUUGUUGGUCUGUAGGACCGGAGUAAUGAUUAAGAGGGACAGUCGGGGGCAUUCGUAUUUCAUUGUCAGAGGUGAAAUUCUUGGAUUUAUGAAAGACGAACUACUGCGAAAGCAUUUGCCAAGGAUGUUUUCAUUGA
rnacentral:rRNA from 1 species